AGACGCUGGCGGCGUGCCUAACACAUGCAAGUCGAACGGAGAUAAGCGCUGAUGAUUUAGCUUGCUAGAGAUUCUUGUUUAUCUUAGUGGCGGACGGGUGAGUAACGCGUGAGCAACCUGCCUUUCAGAGGGGGAUAACGUCUUGAAAAGGACGCUAAUACCGCAUGAUAUUAUGGAGUCACAUGGCUCUAUAAUCAAAGGAGCAAUCCGCUGAAAGAUGGGCUCGCGUCCGAUUAGGUAGUUGGCGGGAUAACAGCCCACCAAGCCGACGAUCGGUAGCCGGACUGAGAGGUUGAACGGCCACAUUGGGACUGAGACACGGCCCAGACUCCUACGGGAGGCAGCAGUGAGGGAUAUUGGUCAAUGGGGGAAACCCUGAACCAGCAACGCCGCGUGAGGGAUGACGGCCUUCGGGUUGUAAACCUCUGUCCUCUGUGAAGAUAAUGACGGUAGCAGAGGAGGAAGCUCCGGCUAACUACGUGCC
rnacentral:rRNA from 1 species